rnacentral:rRNA from 1 species
UACGUAGGCAGCGAGCGUUGUUCGGAGUUACUGGGCGUAAAGGGUGUGUAGGCGGCCUAUUAAGUUUGGUGUGAAAUCUCCCGGCUCAACCGGGAGGGUGCGCCGAAAACUGGGAGGCUAGAGUGCGGGAUGGGAGAGUGGAAUUCCUGGUGUAGCGGUGAAAUGCGUAGAUAUUGGGAAGAACACCGGUGGCGAAAGCGCUCUACUGGGCCUGCACUGACACUGAGGGACGAAAGCUAGGGGAGCGAAAGGG